rnacentral:Y_RNA from 1 species
GGGUAGUCUGAAGGUAGUGAUUUAUCUCAAUUGAUUGUUCACAGUCAUUUACAGAUGGAGCUCCUCAUUCUACUCAUUCCCCGUUCUCACUACUGUACUUGGCUAAUCUUUA